UUAAAGACACAGACAAUAAAUAGCACAUGAUAGGUUGGGGCCUGUUACACACUUUGCAUUGGAUCUCAGAAGCUUCAAGUUAGGCCUCCAGACUGAUGAUGUGUGCAGUGGUCUUAGCACAGUACUGAAUACUACAACAAACCAAUUCACAAAACAUUGCACUUAUUCUAAAAUGGGCACUGUCAAAUUCAAAAACCUAUUUUAUGUUGUUCAUCUUGGCAAAACAUGGUAUUUCCUUUAUAUAAAAAUUAGGGCUUAUAAAAAAUAAAUAAAAAAAAGACCACUAGUUAUCCCCCCCAUACAAUCUAGAACACAAUCCUGUCCAGCUGCAGCAUCAUCUUUGUCCAAGCUGAAGCACAGGCAGAAACAAAGUCAAGGAAGUGAGGGCGAGACUAGUACUCCUCUGUGCUCACUCCUGUCCUAUCAGACUCCAGAAUAAAAACAGAGAGGAGGGGGUUAAGGAGCAGCCUGCAGUGAAUAUAUGAAAAGACCCAGCACUCAGGGAGGUCAUGCAGAGUGAGGACACACCACCUCCAAAGCACAGAAUGACAAAGCAAGUGAACAACAUAGAAGGAUAUGACAGGUACUCUUUAACCAGACUCUAGUAGGCAUCUCAAGGCAGCUUUGAAAAAACACCAUUUUGUUCCAUGGAUUGUGUCUGGCUUUGCAGCUCAUCCGUUUUCAAGUCAUGAGGGUUCAGUUGUAAUACCAAGCCCAGCCAAUGGUCAAGGGUGGUUCUGUUUCUGGAAAAAGCAACUUAUGUAAUUGUUACCUAAAAUGUCAUACCUGCUAUAGACAAUGGGGGAGAUUUAUCAAAUCCUGUGCAAAUUUGCCCAGUUGCCCAUAGCAACCAAUCAGCUUUCUCUUUGCAUUCUUAACAAGGCCUCUGAAAAAUGAAAGAAGCGAGCUGAUUGGUUGCUAUGGACAACUUUGCUUCUGCACAUUGAUAAAUCUCCCCCAUU